ensembl:lncRNA LINC00632 long intergenic non-protein coding RNA 632
AGAGGGUGGCGAGUCAGGAGCCGACGAAUGCUGGAGAGGCCAUCCGCAGGGGCGGGUCUCUCCAGAGAGCAGCCGGGUGACAACGUGGCACAGAACGGCACUGCAUCGGAGUAGGCACACUGCAAAGACGAGACGAGUCCUCCCCAGAGAGGGGAGGCGGUUAAGGAGAGGAGAUUGCGUGGCUCGGAGCAGCCAGACCCGAUGGUGUGCUUCUCACCUCAGCGUGAUAGCCUGACCUUGACUCCUGAGUUCCACGAUCGCUUCACAACUGCAAGUCACCAUCAUACAAAAUUUGAGUUUCCCUAAGUCCGCGCCUUUGAGAGCUUUGGAACGAUAUGCAAGUUCAAGUCACCAUCCUGUUUCUUGCUACCUCCUGUGAGAAGACCAACAUUUGGGUUACACUUGUUUCUACUCUUGUUCUUCUGCUUGUUAUUGUUGCCUCUGCAGCCAUUGAUCACACACGUGUUGUCAUACAAAAACUGGUUAGCCUUUUUAUUUGUCUUGUGAAUUUUAUCAUUUGGUUCUUAAGUAUUACAAAUUAAUAUUGUGUACUCUCAUUGAUAUACAACUUGCAGUCAUUGUAAAUAUGCGUGAGUUAGGGGUGAGAAUGGCAUGCAAGCAAAAGAACAAGGAGAGGGAUGAUAGAGAUGCAAGAAGAGUAAAGAGGGCAAGAAAGUUUAUGUUAAUAGCGAACACAAUGAAAGUUCUUUAAAUGCUUGAUAAUGGUGAAAGCAACACUUCCUAGGGCAUAUUUUUGGUGUUAAUGAACCUACACAUCAUACAAUAAAGAAAAUUGAGAAAGCAGUUGGGGCCAGUGAAUCGGGGGCACACAAGAAUCACUGAGAAAAUCAUACACAACUCAAAAUGCCACAAUAGGGAAAAUAUAAAGAGAUUUGCACUUGUGGCUUCUAAAACAGAGAAGGUUGAAUAGGUCUCUUUCUGUGUGUAAAAUCUGCCAGUGAGCAUCACAAAAAUGCAAAUUUAAAUUUCAAUCUGGAUGGAAAGUUAUAAAAUUCAUUGCAAGUAAUGGGUGGUUGGGUAGGUUUAAGAAAUGCCAGGUGGGUGGAUCACUUGAGGUCUGGAGUUUGCAACUAGCCUGGCCAACAUGGUGAAACCUUGUCUCUACUAAAAAUACAAAAAUUAGCCAGGAUUGGUGGCGGGUACCUGUAAUCUCAGCUACUCAGGAGGCUGAGGCAGGAGAAUCGCUUGAACCUAGGAGGCAGAGGUUGCAGUGAGCUGAGAUCGUGCCAUCGCACUCCAGCCUGGGUGACGAGAGCAAAGCUCUGUCUCAAAAAAAGAAAAGAAGAGAAGAGAAAAGAGAAGAGAAGAAAGAAGAGAAGAGAAGAGAAGAGAA